rnacentral:rRNA from 1 species
AACGCUGGCGGCAGGCUUAACACAUGCAAGUCGAGCGCCCCGCAAGGGGAGCGGCAGACGGGUGAGUAACACGUGGGAACGUACCCUUUACUACGGAAUAACGCAGGGAAACUUGUGCUAAUACCGUAUGUGCCCUUUUGGGGAAAGAUUUAUCGGUAAGGGAUCGGCCCGCGUUGGAUUAGCUAGUUGGUGGGGUAAAGGCCUACCAAGGCGACGAUCCAUAGCUGGUCUGAGAGGAUGAUCAGCCACAUUGGGACUGAGACACGGCCCAAACUCCUACGGGAGGCAGCAGUGGGGAAUAUUGGACAAUGGGCGCAAGCCUGAUCCAGCCAUGCCGCGUGAGUGAUGAAGGCCCUAGGGUUGUAAAGCUCUUUCACCGGAGAAGAUAAUGACGGUAUCCGGAGAAGAAGCCCCGGCUAACUUCGUGCCAGCAGCCGCGGUAAUACGAAGGGGGCUAGCGUUGUUCGGAAUUACUGGGCGUAAAGCGCACGUAGGCGGACAUUUAAGUCAGGGGUGAAAUCCCAGAGCUCAACUCUGGAACUGCCUUUGAUACUGGGUGUCUUGAGUAUGGAAGAGGUGAGUGGAAUUCCGAGUGUAGAGGUGAAAUUCGUAGAUAUUCGGA